rnacentral:tRNA from 1 species
GCCUGGGUAGCUCAGUGGAUUAAAGCCUCUGCCUUCAGCUCAGGUCAUGAUCCCAGGGUCGUGGGAUCGAGCCCCACAUCGGGCU